UUCUAUGUUCGGCGUGAAAACCUGCCAGUGGUGGAAUCAGCCCCAUCCUUGUAUGAGGAUCUCCCUGCUGCUACACAGACACUGCAGCAUGGAGAGGACAACUUCUAUGAAGAAUUGAGGAAGUAACAUCUGAAUGACAUCUGUGCUGCUGUGAAACUGCCUCUCCCUGCGGAGUCCAGCUGACGCUUCUUCCUUCCUUUCUGCCCGUUUGGAAACCUCGGCCAGCUCAGUGGCUGAGUCAGAAGCAAACCCAGACUGAUCCCCAG